UGAAGGGCUAUGCAACGCAGAGUGGAGAAACACGGCGAGACAAAGCGGAAAACUGCGAUGUGACACGCGGACCAUCGAAUUUGUACAGUUGAAAGUAAAACGAAAGUACAGAGAUAGUUAACCCGAGCUGUUGUAUCGCCUACGCAAGUCAAAUCAUCUUCUGGUUUUAACUUUCGAGACGUUGAGAUUAUAGAUGGAUAUUAAGACGGGCUACAAUUCAACCCGUCGUGGAGCUAGGGUAUUAUUUGAGUGUCGCUAUCGUUCAUUUUGUUACGCUUUCAAAAUGGCGAUUUUCUCCGCUCGUCCCCCUCCCUGCCCUUCCUGAAUAGAAUGAAUGACAUUGCCCUUGACCAAUAGUACGCUUAUUGUCCGGUUUCCUCGGCGCUGAUUGGCUACAGAUGACAUAAUCGGAAUUCCAUAUGUGGGCGGGCUCUGAGCUGCGAGGGGAGAGCGGCGCACCCGGAGAUCCGACCGUGUUUGUGGACGACAGUAGGGCGCCAUUAACUCCAAAUCUCAUUAACCAUUUGAUUUAACGUUACUUGAAUCUCAGCGGAUCAGCGUUUUAGAAGAGCCCUUUCUCGGAGUUGGUUUAUAUACAAAAUUAGUUCGUGUCGCGUCACAAAAAUCGCGAGAAGAUGGCGGCGUCGACACUCCUCGCAGCACUGCGCUGGGCGCGGCGGGUCACGGGCUCUCCAGAAAACAUCGCUGUGCCCAAAACUGGAUUCAGCUCCUUGAGACUACGCCAACAGCCGUGUGCUUUAAAAUGCACGCUGACGACUAACAACCUUAAUGUGCUUUAAGCGCCGCAAACACCGGGAAUAUCGGAAAGUAGUGUUUUGGAUGCUCGGUGGUUCGUUUCAAAGAAGCGGUUAUUAUAACGAUUCGGCGACUCUCCUCCUUUUGCGUCAUGACGUAGUUACGUAGCCCCUAACAGCAGUUGAAACGGCAUGUGUGUGGACACACCUGGCUGCACAGGUUUUGCCUAUUAAGAGUCAUAUUUUUUAACAGCCGUGUGUGUUGUAAUAUCACAUCUUGUGAUUAAGUAGUUUGUUACAAUCAAGUUGAGUAAAAUUGUAUUUAUUUGUCAACUCGGUUACAUGUGCGUGUUAAUAAAACUACCACGCAAUUAAGAAUCUUGGAACCAGUUCAGCAAUAAUCUUUAAUCGAGAACUGCUAGGAAUUAACCGUCGAAAAGAUAAAACAACCUAAUCAAAAAUCAAUGUUGGCUGGCAGUGCCCAAGUUGUUCCAUUUUUUUUUUAAAUAUUAAUAUCUUGUGUGUUUUGGGAAUUCGUAAAGGUCAAGCU
rnacentral:lncRNA from 1 species